rnacentral:ncRNA from 1 species
UUAAUGUUGGUUCACGUAAAGUGAAUAACAGGGAAUAAGGUUUAAAGCCUUAACUGUACCCGCAACUGUAACUCAAGAGUUUGAAUGCAGAUGCCACUGAGAUUUCGGGAAGGCGUAUUCAAAUGUUGACAGAGAAGUCAGGAGACCUACCAACAAAACA